rnacentral:rRNA from 1 species
GACGAACGCUGGCGGCGUGCCUAAUACAUGCAAGUCGAGCGCAGUGGGGACGGGUGAGUAACACGUGGGUAACCUCCCAUCAGAGGGGAUAACACUUUGAAACAGGUGCUAAACCGAUACUGAUGGAUGGAGCGGCGGUGCAUUAGCUAGUUGGUGAGGUAACGGCUCACCAAGGCCACGAUGCAUAACCGACCUGAGAGGGUGAUCAGCCACACUGGAACUGAGACACGGUCCAGACUCCUACGGGAGGCAGCAGUAGGGAAUAUUCGACAAUGGACGAAAGCCUGACCGAGCCAUGCCGCGUGAGUGAAGAAGGUCUUCGGAUCGUAAAACACUGUUGUUAGAGAAGCGGUAUCUAACCAGAAAGCAACGGCUAACUACGUGCCAGCAGCCGCGGUAAUUC